rnacentral:rRNA from 1 species
UCCAGACUCCUACGGGAGGCAGCAGUGAGGAAUAUUGGUCAAUGGGCGAGAGCCUGAACCAGCCAAGUCGCGUGAGGGAGUACUGCCCUAUGGGUUGUAAACCUCUUUUGUCGGGGAGCAAAAGCCGGACGUGUCCGGCUGUGAGAGUACCCGAAGAAAAAGCAUCGGCUAACUCCGUGCCAGCAGCCGCGGUAAUACGUAGGGAGCGAGCGUUGUCCGGAAUUACUGGGUGUAAAGGGAGCGUAGGCGGGGAUGCAAGUUGGGUGUUAAAUCUACCGGCUCAACUGGUAGUCGCACUCAAAACUGCAGCUCUUGAGUGAAGUAGAGGCAGGCGGAAUUCCUAGUGUAGCGGUGAAAUGCGUAGAUAUUAGGAGGAACACCAGUGGCGAAGGCGGCCUGCUGGGCUUUUACUGACGCUGAGGCUCGAGAGUGUGGGGAGCAAACAGGAUUAGAUACCCCGGUA